GAACGUGUUGAGCACCUAGUGAAAAUGUUCAUACCAACUUUUUUUUUCAAUAACAUCCAAGAAAUAAUAAUAAAUGGUAAUAAAGUUGUAAAGUGGGGAACAGAAUUACUGGAAAAGUUAUCAAGAAAUUUCAUUCCAUUUGGAGGGAUGUUAUUACAUUCUGUAUAAUUAUAUUGUAUAUCUAUAUAGUGACCUAUUAUCUAUUGUAUAAUUAGCCUAUUUUUAAUGGUCACUCUAGUCAGAAGUUUAAAUGUUUAAAUGAAAACUUAAGUUUCUACAAUUUUAAUGAUGAACAGGAAAAAUAAUUGUAUUUAUUUGUGUGCUGGCGCAGAUUUUUGUUUGUUUAUCAAGUGCCAAAUCUAAUUGAAUGAAUACAGUUAAAGGUUUUCUUUUUUUAGUGUACUAAUGUAUCCAGUAAAAUAAAAUGAUUCUCAUAUUUGAUGUGGUUCAGAAUAAUUAGUCUUUCUGAGCUGUGAAGCACCUUCUGCAGGAAGAAUAACUUUAUGCCCCACAGAAAACACAUGAUCAAAGUAACAGACAUGUAGCUGGAUGUAAGAAAGAUGUAACAGAUGGGCAGUUUUUCUGAAGCCAUCAGUGCUGAUGUUUCUAGUGUUUCUCAUAAUGACUGUCUCUCUUUAACUGUUCCAGGUCCAGGUCUGUCUCCAGGUGCAAUAGCAGGGAUUGUUGUUGGUGUUCUGCUGGGGGCUGCAGCUGUUGUUGUUGUUGGUGUGAUUUACUAUCGCCGCAGGAGCUCCAGAAAUGUGAACAGGCAGAACCCUACGUCGAAUGGGGCACAGGACCCAGGUGAUCAUGUUAAUGAAGGGACUGAAUUGACCAACGCUUCUUGAAAUGUGAACAGCUUAUAUUCACUGUAACAAUAUACAGAUGAAGAAUGACUGAAGUCAAGACAUUUGAGUUUUUGUAUCGUAAUGAGUGAAGCCUUAAUUUUUUUACAUAAACAGAGAAACAUGCUUUGAUUUAUGAUGACGUUGAUGUAACAGUUUGCUGUUUGCGCUGAUGCUGAUAUUGCACUGAUAUUAUGUUAUUUUGUAUUAAAGGCCAGUUUGACUGAUUUACAGUAAUGCAGGAUGUUACACUGUGAGACGGCUUGAUUGUUGUUACACCUGUAAGAUUGUGGAGAAGUAAUCUCAAGAUAAUUAAUGUAGCUAUAUGCUAUAAUUCUUGUUUGUUUUUAUUUGAUGUUCUUGCGCUGUUACUUCACACAUAUUUGUGCUUUAUUGAAGUGUUCAUGCUUAAAUAUUUUGUAUUAAAUGUAGUGUCAUAUAGACGGCAUUAUAAUCUUUUUGUUUUUCCAUCUCUCUGUCACCUGAUAAGCUGUGAGUGUGAUAUCUGAACUGAUCUGAAUUCAGUGUUUUUCUGAAGACUGCAGUCUGUGUUCAUACAGGACUUACAGAUGAUCUUGCUGUCUAACAUUUCAGUCCUUCAGCUUUUGCUUGUUUAUAAACCACUGUUAUAACAGGAAACAGUGUUAGUAUUAAGAAAAUAAAAUGAUGUGUGUGACUAAUUCUGUUGUGUUU
ensembl:lncRNA